AAAAAAAUGGCUGAGCGGUUAAGGUGUGAGCCUAGAAAGCUUAUGGGGGUUCCCCGCCCAGGUUCAAAUCCUGCAGGUGUGGUUUUA